rnacentral:rRNA from 1 species
UGGGGAAUAUUGGACAAUGGGCGAAAGCCUGAUCCAGCAAUGCCGCGUGAGUGAUGAAGGCCUUAGGGUUGUAAAGCUCUUUUACCAGGGAUGAUAAUGACAGUACCUGGAGAAUAAGCUCCGGCUAACUCCGUGCCAGCAGCCGCGGUAAUACGGAGGGAGCUAGCGUUGUUCGGAAUUACUGGGCGUAAAGAGUACGUAGGCGGUGAUUCAAGUCAGAGGUGAAAGCCUGGAGCUCAACUCCAGAACUGCCUUUGAAACUAGAUCGCUAGAAUCAUGGAGAGGUUAGUGGAAUUCCGAGUGUAGAGGUGAAAUUCGUAGAUAUUCGGAAGAACACCAGUGGCGAAGGCGACUAACUGGACAUGUAUUGACGCUGAGGUACGAAAGCGUGGGGAGCAAACAGGAUUAGAUACCCACGUAGUCCCUGAGCGGGCUGGCAAGGCGCAU